rnacentral:rRNA from 1 species
GACGAACGCUGGCGGCGUGCUUAACACAUGCAAGUCGAACGCUGAAGCCCGCUUCGGUGGGUGGAUGAGUGGCGAACGGGUGAGUAACACGUGGACAAUCUGCCCUGCACUUCGGGAUAAGCCUUGGAAACGGGGUCUAAUACCGGAGCGGACAUUGCAUCGCAUGGUGGGGUGUGAAACGCGUUUAAGGCGGUGCGGGACGAGUCCGCGGCCUAUCAGCUUGUUGGUGGGGUGAUGGCCUACCAAGGCGACGACGGGUAGCCGGCCUGAGAGGGUGACCGGCCACACUGGGACUGAGACACGGCCCAGACUCCUACGGGAGGCAGCAGUGGAGAAUCUUGCGCAAUGGGCGGAAGCCUGACGCAGCAACGCCGCGUGGGGGAUGACGGCCUUCGGGUUGUAAACCUCUUUCGGCAUCGACGAAGGCUCUCGUGUUCGGGGGUUGACGGUAGGUGCAGAAGAAGCACCGGCUAACUACGUGCCAGCCGCCGCGGUAA